GAUGAACGCUGGCGGCGUGCCUAAUACAUGCAAGUCGAGCGAACGGACGAGAAGCUUGCUUUUCUGAUGUUAGCGGCGGACGGGUGAGUAACACGUGGAUAACCUACCUAUAAGACUGGGAUAACUUCGGGAAACCGGAGCUAAUACCGGAUAAUAUUUUGAACCGCAUGGUUCAAAAGUGAAAGACGGUCUUGCUGUCACUUAUAGAUGGAUCCGCGCUGCAUUAGCUAGUUGGUAAGGUAACGGCUUACCAAGGCAACGAUGCAUAGCCGACCUGAGAGGGUGAUCGGCCACACUGGAGCUGAGACACGGUCCAGACUCCUACGGGAGGCAGCAGUAGGGAAUCUGCCGCAAUGGGCGAAAGCCUGACGGAGCAACGCCGCGUGAGUGAUGAAGGUCUGCGGAUCGUAAAACUCUGUUAUUAGGGAAGAACAUAUGUGUAAGUAACUGUGCACAUCUUGACGGUACCUAAUCAGAAAGCCACGGCUAACUACGG
rnacentral:rRNA from 1 species